rnacentral:piRNA from 1 species
UGGACAGACAGACAGAACAGCUGAUAUCA